UUUCUCUUCUUCGCUCCUGUGCCGUCAACUCUCUUUUUCUCUCUACUUUCUCUCUUGCAGGAAUGGUGAUGGCGAAGCACCAACGCACUGAGGCUCAGUUUGACACAAUGACGGCCACUGCACCCUCAUCCAUAUGCCAUUGCUAAACUUCGUAAGAUCCAGCAGCGACUUCAUUGAUAAGAAAGCAAACCACUAGAAAGACGACAAAGACCACUAUGGCACCAUUGCAAACUGAAACCUCGGCACCAUCGGCGGCUUCUAUGCCAGUCGCAAUGGGGAGAGCUACCCAUUCACAGACGAAAGGCAAAAUCCCCAUCUAUGAAGUGCACACCGAUGAAAAUGAUGAAUGGGAGGUCAAGCUUAAAAUUCUAAAAUAGCUACAGGACCGAAAAGUGCAACUAAAGACCACCAUAUUGGUCUUGGAAGCUUCCACAUAAAGCAGUAGUGUGGACACAACCUGUAGCCACAGUGAAAAAGAUACCACAGGACCAGCACAGGAGGUAGAGGACACCAGUAAUGAGGAGGUUCAGCUCGCUUCUCCUCCAAAAAAGAAACAGAAAAAAAGAAUGCCCAGGAUAGCCGGCGGUAAAUCCAGAUACUUACCGGAUGAACACAAACUACACGGUCCUAUCAUUCCACCACGAUCGCGUUUAUUUCGGACAGAGAACAAGUCAGCCCCAGCCCCCUCAGUAGCACCUCUAGCACCCGAUGAUUAAGCCCGCCUAGUCAGAAUUGAGGCAAAAAUGCACCACAUUAAUGCUAAAUUGGAUGCCAUCCUGGGACAAUGCGAGGAGUAAGUGUGGGGGGGGGGAAGUUGGAAUAGAAUUAUUUUUAUUGUAUUGGCUGAUGUACUUAUUUUUCUGCUGUAUUUUCUCUUCUAUUUGUUGUUCUGCACAAAUUUUUUCUGCUUGCUGUUAAAGGCUUACCCAAGCUUGUACUCGUGCUCUGUUUUUUCUGUUUCUCAGUACUUGCACUCGCUAAUUUGUCAAUUUUUUCAAUUCUCUAAUUUUUUUAUA